AGGGUCUAUGCAGCCAGAUGGAGAAACCAGCACAAAGACGAUCACCAUUUCUAUGCUGUACACACACAAUGAUAACCCCUCAAGGCCAGGCUAUAAUCACUCUCUGCAGGACACAAUUGGAGACACUGGCUAUAUUACCAAGGCUUUUACUGGAAUAUCAUAUUUGAGAAAAACAUGCAUAAACUCAGAUGUGACCAAAUAGUUUUGAGGAACAAGGAUUGAUUUUACGGAACAAAUAAAGCCACUUGGAAAUAUUGGCCUGAUGCCUUGCUUACAGAGUUCCUGGCAACCUUACCAGAACGACAGGAGGACCACUGGUGGGAGAACAGCUUGCUAACAGUUCCCCCUGCUUGCUGAUUAAACAUCGUGCAGCGUCUCCAGAUACCACCCCACCACUGGCACCCCACAUGUUGUGAUUCAAGCCACCGCCUACGUUCAGCCCUGCCACCCUCUGAUGCCUCCCGCCUGGGACUAGAUGGAACCCAAGCAGCUGACGGGACACUUGGGCUUCAAGGGACCUGAACACUCUCUGAGUUGAUCGAAGGUGUUGCCUUGGUGAACCUAUGAUCAAGAGACGAAAAUGAUAAAAGAAAAAAACACAGUGAGGCCAGAGUCAACUUGAUGGUUACCAUGAUCGCCGCAAGGAAGAACUAUGGGCAGAAAUAAAAAAUCACAUUUUAACCUUGUCUGUCACCAGAUGGCCAGAGAACAAUGCAGUCAUCUUUCCUUGCAGUCAGGAUAUUUAGAAAGCCCCAGACACAGACACACUGUAGCUGGGAAGGGCGACCACUCAGAACUGGGCUCAGCUGUAGCCUUACAGACUCUGCGCUUUUUGCCUUUAAACACCAGCCACCCUUGGGGCUGGGCCCCGUGGCCGAGUGUUUAAGUUUGCGCGCUCCACUUCGGUGGCCCAGGGUUUUGUUUGUUCGAAUCCUGGGCACGGACGUGAUACCGCUCAUCAAGCCACGCUGAGGUGGC